rnacentral:rRNA from 1 species
CAGUCGCCGCGGUAAUGCGUAGGUGGCAAGCGUUGUCCGGAAUUAUUGGGCGUAAAGGGCUCGCAGGCGGUUUCUUAAGUCUGAUGUGAAAGCCCCCGGCUCAACCGGGGAGGGUCAUUGGAAACUGGGAAACUUGAGUGCAGAAGAGGAGAGUGGAAUUCCACGUGUAGCGGUGAAAUGCGUAGAGAUGUGGAGGAACACCAGUGGCGAAGGCGACUCUCUGGUCUGUAACUGACGCUGAGGGGCGAAAGCGUGGGGAGCGAACAGGAUUAGAUACCCCCGUAGUCCCUGUCUCUUAUAC